rnacentral:pre_miRNA from 1 species
AAAAAGACAAACUCUGGUUUCCGUGCCCAACGUUUGACCGUCCGUCUUAUUUGAAAAAAUUAUAAAAAAAAUUAAAAAGACAAGUCACGCAUAAAAUAUUAAUCAUGUUUUAUCAUCUAACAACAAUAAAAAUACGAAUUAUAAAAAAAUUUCAUAUAAGACGGACAGUCAAAGUUGGACACGGAAAUCUAGGGUUUGCUUUUUU